rnacentral:lncRNA from 1 species
GAAAUGCACAACCUAUGGGAAAAAAACAGAUUCUACAUGGGAGUUUAUAGAACACCAAGAACGCAAUGCUUAAACGAUCAUGGCGGAUCUUUCAAUUAUCUGUAAAGUACAGAAUCCCCCCCUCCCAAAACGGUUGAAUAUUACAUUGGACAAAACUCACGUCCUUAAAAACACUUUAAUACAGGCAUCAUUAAACAUUUUAAGGGCUUCUUAAAAGCCUAAAUUAUUCUAUGAGUUUGUACCCUCUUUGGUUGCAGUGAAAGGACUGCAUUGUGUCACGGCACACCAAAUAUGUGUGAAUGGCAUAGAGUCAUCAAAAUCUGCUAGUGAACAGAAACGACAGGACAGAGCUUCAUUUCUCCUGCUGCCACCGCCUGGAGGCUUAUAAUCCAUCACAGUGAGGCGGUUUCCAUCCUGCACCCAGUCCACCUUUCACAGCGCCUUUGGAACAAACAUGGAAGGCACUGAGCGGGGGUCUGUGGACUGCGGAGGCAGGAGUGCUGCCCUGGAAAUGCUGGACGCCUUUGUCAGUGGGCAGGAUCAGCUGUCUUCCUAAUACUCUGCGAGGUCAAAGAGAAGCUACUGACAUUUUUGAUCAGACAAAGGGAAAAUGUUUGGAGAUUUUAAAAGUAGGAGACAAUGAUUUUGAAGGCAUGUGUAUGAUAAGAUGUGUAUGGGAACGUGGGAAGCAUCACGCAUCACAGAAGUGUGACUUUGAGAGUUUAGGCCAGACUGUUCUUCCACUGACUCAGUCUCAGGCAAGGUUCUCAGGCUAAUUUCAUUUGUUUGUCUUUCAUUUGCAAAACAGGAUAAUAAUGGUUACCUUGCAGGGCUGAUGAAUGGCUUAGAGAUCAUAUAUGACAGACUCAGGUGUCUAAGGCAACACUGGGCACAAAGAAGCCCUCCAUACAUAUUAACUAAUACACAGUUAAACACAAACAUAACAAGAAUACAAAUAUAUAAAUAUGCACACUUGGCUUAUGUACCUGACAAUCUUUUCCCACCUUCCCUCCAUUUCUAUCAAUGAUGUAAGACAGCAGUGACAAGAAUAAGUGUGAGCUCCCGAAUUUCUGGUGAGUGAUCAUCCCCAGAAAAGUGAGUAUCCACAACUAGUAUCUAGUGGACAUAUCAUACUCUUUAGGGCAGGUGGCUUAUUAAGGGUUGAAAAGAAAAAAAAAAACAACCCUAGUUGGUCAAGAUUUCUGUAAAAGUUACCUAGUGAAUGUAACCAGGAAAUCCAGCCACAUUUACAUGAGUGUUCUGAUUCAUUCUCCCCAGACAGAAUCCACAGGAACUCAGGUAACUUUGAUAAACUGUCCCCCAGUACGUUGGCUGAGUGACUGAAAGAUAAGCUUGCCUUUGGCCGGGCGCG